UACGUGGGGUGCGAGCGUUGCCCGGAAUUAUUGGGCGUAAAGGGCAGGUAGGUGGUCUCAUUUGUCAGGGGUGAAAGCCUUGGGCUUAACCCAAGAAGUGCCUCUGAAACGGUGAGACUGGAGUCUUGGAGAGGGUCGUGGAAUUCCCGGUGUAGCGGUGAAAUGCGUAGAGAUCGGGAGGAACACCAGAGGCGAAGGCGGCGACCUGGACAAGUACUGACACUCAACUGCGAAAGCGUGGGUAGCAAACAGG
rnacentral:rRNA from 1 species